CCAACCAACCUGACCCCCCCCCCAAAUCUCUGUCUUCAGGUGGGCACUGCUUGGAUUUGGGUCACAGCGUCAUCUGCAAAUGCCAACCUGGUUUUUCGGGGGCGAGGUGCGAAAACAACGUGGAUGAUUGCAGCCCCAACCCCUGCGCCAACGGUGGGACCUGCGUGGACGGCACCAACAGCUACAGCUGCUCCUGCACCCUGGGUUACGCUGGUGAUGAUUGUCGUCAGCGUGCUGAUGCUUGUGCCUCCGGACCCUGUUUGCACGGUGCUACCUGCUACACACACUUCUCCGGUCACGUCUGCGCCUGUCCCCCCGGUUACAUGGGACCCCGUUGUGAGGAGGAGGUUGGGGGGGGUCCGCUUGCCCCCUACCACCAGCCCCCAGCUCCCUUAGCCCUCGCCUGUGCCCUCCCCAUAGCUCUGCUGGGCCCUGGGCUGGGUUUGGUGCUGGCAGCUCGUGGGUGGAGACGGAGGUCGGGGGGUGAGAGCGGCCGCACGUUGGAGCCGAUGAGGACCCCCAGCCUGAGCCUUGCUGGGAUGGAGCAGCAGCUGCCCCGUGCCUCUGCCACCCAGGUGGGGUCUGAGCAAAAGAGGGUCUGUCCUCCAAGCUCGGCGCUGCACUCAUUUUCCUCUUCUUCGGUCCCAUUUUUCCAGGUCUGAGGUGAUGAAGGUCCACCCCACGUCUUUUUGGGGUCGUUUCCUCCGUAAAGCUCCUUGUGAGGUCCUCGCCAGCUGCGGUGCUGCCGUGUUUCUGCCACCGCAGGGGGGGGGGGGGGAGGAUGAGCAGCAGCUGGGGGGGGGAGUGGUGGGGGAAAUGGGCGCUGGGGAGGGAAGUGAUGGUGAAAAUGGGCCCCCCCACAGCUGGAGGCCGUGGGGGCUGCAGGCAAAAUCCAGAAAGCAUCAUUUAAAAAACAAACAAACAAAAAAAAACCCAAAAAAGCAGAGGUGCAGAUGUGGAUUUGCUGGUAAAGAGCACCUUUAAUGGCUGGGAUUCGGUCCCAUUUAUUGGGUACCACUGUGCAACCCGAGGGAGUGGGGUUCAGGGCUCCUGGGAGCGCGUUGGUGUCUGUUCCACCUCCCUGAUGUUUGACCCCCCCCCCUCAAUGCAACCCCCCACCCUCA
rnacentral:lncRNA from 1 species